CCUACGGGGAGCAGCAGUGGGGAAUAUUGCACAAUGGGGGGAACCCUGAUGCAGCAACGCCGCGUGAAGGAAGACGGUUUUCGGAUUGUAAACUUCUAUCAGUAGGGAAGAAAGAAACGACGGUACCUAAAUAAGAAGCCCCGGCUAACUCCGUGCCAGCAGCCGCGGUAAUACGGAGGCUGCGAGCGUUAUGCGGAUUUAUUGGGUUUAAAGGGUGCGCAGGCGGACGGUUAAGUCAGCGGUAAAAGCACGGGGCUCAACCCCUGCCCGCCGUUGAAACUGGCCGUCUCGAGUUGGAGAGAAGUAUGCGGAAUGCGCGGUGUAGCGGUGAAAGGCAUAGAUAUCGCGCAGAACUCCGAUUGCGAAGGCAGCAUGCCGGCUCCACACUGACGCUGAGGCACGAAAGCGUGGGUAUCGAACAGGAUUAGAUACCCGGGUAGUC
rnacentral:rRNA from 1 species